rnacentral:rRNA from 1 species
AACGUAGGUGGCAAGCGUUAUCCGGAUUUACUGGGCGUAAAGCGUGUGCAGGCGGAUGGCCAAGUGGUGUAUGAAAGCUCCAGGCUUAACCUGGAGAGGUUAUGCCAGACUGGCCGUCUUGAGGCAGAGAGAGGGACAUGGAAUUCCGGGUGUAGUGGUGAAAUGCGUAGAGAUCCGGAGGAACUCCAGAGGCGAAGGCGGUGUCCUGGCUCUGGCCUGACGCUCAGACACGAAAGAAUGGGGAGCGAAAGGG